rnacentral:lncRNA from 10 species
CGCCCUGCUUCGGCUCGCACACGGUGGGCGCACCCACUGGCCUGCGCCCACUGUCUGGCACUCCCUAGUGAGAUGAACCCGGUACCUCAGAUGGAAAUGCAGAAAUCACCCGUCUUCUGCCUCGCUCACGCUGGGAGCUGUAGACUGGAGCUGUUCCUAUUCGGCCAUCUUGGCUCCUCCAAAAAUUUUCCUACCAAGAGAACACCACACCUGACUGAUUUUUAGGGUGAAGUUCAACAACAUAGUACUCAAGGAUCACAUUUUUGCUAUGACCUUCACUGCAAUGUUGAAUGGAAGUGGCAAGAAAGGAUAUCCUUGUUGUGUUCCUGAUCUCAGGAGAAAGGCAUUCAGUUUCUUACCAGUGUUGGAUUUUGUCAAAUGCUUUCUCUGCAACAAUUAACAGGAUCAUAUGAUUUUUCUUCUUAAACCUGUUGUGGUGGGUUGUACUGAUUGUUUUUGAUAUACCUUGAAUAAAUCCCACUUAGCUAUUGCUAUGGUUUGAAUGUUUGUCUCCUCUAAAACUCAUGUUGAAAUUUAAUUGCCGGUGUAAUGGUAUUGGGAGGUGGAGUCUUUAAAAUGUUGUUAGGCCACAACAGAUCCACCCGCAUAGGAGUUUUAAUGCGUUAAAUAAAAAGUCUUCAGGAGCUCUCUCUCUCUCUCUCACCCUCUCACCUCUUGGCAUGUAAUAAUGCAGCAAGAAGGCCCUCAUCAAAAGCCAGCAGCUUGGUAUUGAACUUUCCAGUCUCUAGAACUGUAUGCCAAUAAGUGUCUGUUUAUUAUAAAUUAUAGAGUCUUUGGUAUUCUGUUGUAGCAGCACAAAAUAGACUGAAAUGGCUAUGGUAUAUAAUUCUUUUUAUAAAUUGCUGGAUUCAAUUUGCUUUGUUGAAGAUUUUUGCAUCUAAGUUAAUGACAGAUAUUGAUCUGUAGUUUUCUUUUCUUGUAAUGUCUUUAUCUGGUUUUGGAAAUAUGAUAAUGUUGACCUCAUAGCAUAAUUUAGAAAAUGUUAGUGCUCUAUUUUAUUGAAAAUAUUGUAACAAAUUAG